UGCCUAUUGGCCAAGUUGGUUAAGGCGUCUGACUGUUAGUUAUCAAAACAGAAGCAAUCAGAAGAUCCCUGGUUCGACCCCAGGAUGGGCAG